CAGUAGUCAUAUGCUUGUCUCAGAGAUUAAGCCAUGCAUGUCUAAGUGCACGCCUUUAUACGGUGAAACCGCGAAUGGCUCAUUAAAUCAGCUAUGGUUUAUUGGAUCGUACCCGUUAAAUGGAUAACUGUAAUAACUCUAGAGCUAAUACAUGCCACGAUGCCCUGACCCGCAAGGGAAUGGGUGCACUUAUUAGAUCAGAAGCCAACCGAGUGCGAGUGCCUCAGUGCACUAGUGCUUGUUGUCGUUCUGGUGACUCUGGAUAAUUGUUACAGAUCGCAGUCGGCCUUGAGUCGGCGACGGGUCCUUCAAAUGUCUGCCCUAUCAACUUUCGAUGGUAGGUGACCUGCCUACCAUGGUUAUUACGGGUAACGGGGAAUCAGGGUUCGAUUCCGGAGAGGGAGCCUGAGAAACGGCUACCACUUCUAAGGGAGGCAGCAGGCGCGCAAAUUACCCACUCCCGGUACGGGGAGGUGGUGACGAAAAAUACCGAUGCGGGACUCUUGAACGAGGCUCCGUAAUCGGAAUGAGUGAACUCUAAAUCCUUUCACGAGGAUCAAUUGGAGGGCAAGUCUGGUGCCAGCAGCCGCGGUAACUCCAGCUCCAAUAGCGUAUAUUAAAGUUGCUGCAGUUAAAAAGCUCGUAGUUGGAUCUCGGUAUCAUUGUUGCCUGCCUAUCCUUGGCUGUUGUGCUUGGGUGUCAGUUUUCCUAGUGUUGACUGUCUCGAGUGUAGCAUGUUGAGUGGGUUUGGUAGCGGUGUCACCUUUUAGCCAUGUCUGUGGUGCAAUACCCACAGGUGUAGGCGGGUGUCAGGCGGUGCUCUGCAACAGUAGGGUCCGUCGGCUCGUUUGCAUGCCUAAGAAUGCCCUUCAAAAGGUGUUCCAGGGCGGAUGGCACGUUUACUUUGAACAAAUUUGAGUGCUCAAACCAGGCCGAUGUUGCCUGAAAAGUUUUGCAUGGAAUAAUGGAAUAGGACUUCGGUUCUAUUUUGUUGGUUUUCGGAUCCGAAGUAAUGAUCAAAAGAGACAGGCGGGGACGUUUGUAUGGCUGCGCUAGAGGUGAAAUUCAUGGACCGUAGCCAGACAAACUAAAGCGAAAGCAUUCGUCAAGCAUGUUUUCAUUGACCAUGAGCGAAAGUCAGAGGCUCGAAGACGAUCAGAUACCGUCCUAGUUCUGACCAUAAACGAUGCCAACUGACGAUCCGUGGUGGUAGUAUAACAACCAUCCCCACGGGCAGUCCCCGGGAAACCUUUAAGUCUUUGGGUUCCGGGGGAAGUAUGGUUGCAAAGCUGAAACUUAAAGGAAUUGACGGAAGGGCACCACCAGGAGUGGAGCCUGCGGCUUAAUUCGACUCAACACGGGAAAACUCACCCGGCCCGGACACUGUGAGGAUUGACAGAUUGAUAGCUCUUUCUUGAUUCG
rnacentral:rRNA from 1 species